rnacentral:ribozyme from 1 species
ACUCGUUUGAGCGAGUAUAAACAGUUGGUUAGGCUCAAAGCGGAGAGCAGAUCGUCUGCUCUCGUCCAA